CAGUCGCCACGGUAAUACGUAGGGCGCAAGCGUUGUCCGGAAUUAUUGGGCGUAAAGAGCUCGUAGGCGGUCUGUCGCGUCUGGUGUGAAAUCCCGAGGCUCAACCUCGGGCUUGCAUCGGGUACGGGCAGACUAGAGUGCGGUAGGGGAGACUGGAAUUCCUGGUGUAGCGGUGGAAUGCGCAGAUAUCAGGAGGAACACCGAUGGCGAAGGCAGGUCUCUGGGCCGCAACUGACGCUGAGGAGCGAAAGCAUGGGGAGCGAACAGGAUUAGAUACCCGUGUAGUCCCUGUCUCUUAUAA
rnacentral:rRNA from 1 species